GGAAUAUUGCACAAUGGGGGAAACCCUGAUGCAGCGACGCCGCGUGAGUGAAGAAGUAUUUCGGUAUGUAAAGCUCUAUCAGCAGGAAAGAAAAUGACGGUACCUGACUAAGAAGCCCCGGCUGACUACGUGCCAGCAGCCGCGGUAAUACGUAGGGGGCAAGCGUUAUCCGGAUUUACUGGGUGUAAAGGGAGCGUAGAGGGUGAAGCAAGUCUGAAGUGAAAGGCGGGGGCUCAACCCCCGGAACUGCUUUGGAAACUGUGCGGCUCGAGUGCGGGAGAGGUAGGCGGAAUUCCUAGUGUAGCGGUGAAAUGCGUAGAUAUUAGGAGGAACACCAGUGGCGAAGGCGGCUUACUGGAUCGUAACUGACGUUGAGGCUCGAAAGCGUGGGGAGCAAAC
rnacentral:rRNA from 1 species